rnacentral:rRNA from 1 species
UACGGGGGGGGCAAGCGUUGUUCGGAAUUACUGGGCGUAAAGGGCUCGUAGGCGGCCAACUAAGUCAGACGUGAAAUCCCCAGGCUCAACCUGGGAACUGCGUCUGAUACUGGAUGGCUUGAAUUCGGGAGAGGGAUGCAGAAUUCCAGGUGUAGCGGUGAAAUGCGCAGAUAUCAGGAGGAACACCGAUGGCGAAGGCAGGUCUCUGGGCAUUAACUGACGCUGAGGAGCGAAAGCAUGGGGAGCGAACAGG